rnacentral:tRNA from 2 species
GGGCCGUUAGCUCAGUUUGGUAGAGCAGUUCCCUUUUAAGGAAUUGGUCCGGCGUUCGAGUCGCCGACGGCCCACCA